UAAAUGUUACACUGCUCUUUCAAAAAUUAUUCUUCCAAUAUAUGAAACUCUUUCGUUUAAAGAUUAUACAUUUAACUGUAGAUUAAUAUCCCUGUAUAUAAAUCUUUUUAUAAAUUUGAGUCAUGAUAACCCAGGCUCCGCUGUUCAAGGAUUAAUUAUAAAUGUUCAGUUUUCUGUCAACGGAGCUUAAUGAUGCGGUUUUUCAAUCGAAACGUCAUUCAUACGUGUCUAAAAGAUAAUAGAGCGGUGUAAUUACAUCACAUUUACAAUAUACUCGUCGGAAAAUUAUUUACACGAAAAGUCGGUCUUGUUGUUGGACUGUGUAGUGUGUCUAAAUUUAUCAAAAUAAAAUCGCAUCUAAAGCCAAUACAAUUCUGCAGAUCCGCAGUUACAGAUUUUCACGCUAUAGAUAAUUUACGUAAGGAGUACACAAGUUAGUCUAUAACACUUUCCUGAACAAGUGUAAAAAGCAUACAAUUACAAGGAUCAACGAACUGUUACAAUUUUAAUCCUCUUACCCAACUUAUCUUAAUCAUUCAGAUCUACUAUCCUGUUUCUGAACGCACAGAAGUUAGAGUCAUUCCCGGUUUAAUGGUAGUAUUCGUAAGCUGGAGAGAAAGUCUUCUGGUA